CGGGGCUAAACCAUGCACCGAAGCUGCGGCAGCGACGCUUAUGCGUUGUUGGGUAGGGGAGCGUUCUGUAAGCCUGUGAAGGUGUGCUGUGAGGCAUGCUGGAGGUAUCAGAAGUGCGAAUGCUGACAUAAGUAACGAUAAAGCGGGUGAAAAGCCCGCUCGCCGGAAGACCAAGGGUUCCUGUCCAACGUUAAUCGGGGCAGGGUGAGUCGACCCCUAAGGCGAGGCCGAAAGGCGUAGUCGAUGGGAAACAGGUUAAUAUUCCUGUACUUGGUGUUACUGCGAAGGGGGGACGGAGAAGGCUAUGUUGGCCGGGCGACGGUUGUCCCGGUUUAAGCGUGUAGGCUGGUUUUCCAGGCAAAUCCGGAAAAUCAAGGCUGAGGCGUGAUGACGAGGCACUACGGUGCUGAAGCAACAAAUGCCCUGCUUCCAGGAAAAGCCUCUAAGCAUCAGGUAACAUCAAAUCGUACCCCAAACCGACACAGGUGGUCAGGUAGAGAAUACCAAGGCGCUUGAGAGAACUCGGGUGAAGGAACUAGGCAAAAUGGUGCCGUAACUUCGGGAGAAGGCACGCUGAUAUGUAGGUGAAGUCCCUCGCGGAUGGAGCUGAAAUCAGUCGAAGAUACCAGCUGGCUGCAACUGUUUAUUAAAAACACAGCACUGUGCAAACACGAAAGUGGACGUAUACGGUGUGACGCCUGCCCGGUGCCGGAAGGUUAAUUGAUGGGGUCAGCGCAAGCGAAGCUCUUGAUCGAAGCCCCGGUAAACGGCGGCCGUAACUAUAACGGUCCUAAGGUAGCGAAAUUCCUUGUCGGGUAAGUUCCGACCUGCACGAAUGGCGUAAUGAUGGCCAGGCUGUCUCCACCCGAGACUCAGUGAAAUUGAACUCGCUGUGAAGAUGCAGUGUACCCGCGGCAAGACGGAAAGACCCCGUGAACCUUUACUAUAGCUUGACACUGAACAUUGAGCCUUGAUGUGUAGGAUAGGUGGGAGGCUUAGAAGUGUGGACGCCAGUCUGCAUGGAGCCGACCUUGAAAUACCACCCUUUAAUGUUUGAUGUUCUAACGUUGACCCGUAAUCCGGGUUGCGGACAGUGUCUGGUGGGUAGUUUGACUGGGGCGGUCUCCUCCUAAAGAGUAACGGAGGAGCACGAAGGUUGGCUAAUCCUGGUCGGACAUCAGGAGGUUAGUGCAAUGGCAUAAGCCAGCUUGACUGCGAGCGUGACGGCGCGAGCAGGUGCGAAAGCAGGUCAUAGUGAUCCGGUGGUUCUGAAUGGAAGGGCCAUCGCUCAACGGAUAAAAGGUACUCCGGGGAUAACAGGCUGAUACCGCCCAAGAGUUCAUAUCGACGGCGGUGUUUGGCACCUCGAUGUCGGCUCAUCACAUCCUGGGGCUGAAGUAGGUCCCAAGGGUAUGGCUGUUCGCCAUUUAAAGUGGUACGCGAGCUGGGUUUAGAACGUCGUGAGACAGUUCGGUCCCUAUCUGCCGUGGGCGCUGGAGAACUGAGGGGGGCUGCUCCUAGUACGAGAGGACCGGAGUGGACGCAUCACUGGUGUUCGGGUUGUCAUGCCAAUGGCACUGCCCGGUAGCUAAAUGCGGAAGAGAUAAGUGCUGAAAGCAUCUAAGCACGAAACUUGCC
rnacentral:rRNA from 1 species